UUUCUCCGCCGGUGACCGGCGCACGGGUGAGUAACACGUAUGCAACCUGCCCCUGUCAGGGGGACAACCCGCCGAAAGGCGGGCUAAACCCGCGUACAUGCCACCGGGCAUCCCGGAGGCAGGAAAGGCUUCGGCCGGACAGGGAUGGGCAUGCGGCGCAUUAGGCAGUAGGCGGGGUAACGGCCCACCUAACCGACGAUGCGUAGGGGUUCUGAGAGGAAGGUCCCCCACACUGGUACUGAGACACGGACCAGACUCCUACGGGAGGCAGCAG
rnacentral:rRNA from 1 species